UAAUAUAUAUUUAUUUCAUUGCAACCAAUCAAUAACAAGGCUGCCUCCCAAAAAACUCAAUAACCAUUUUUUUAAGAAAAAUGGAAAAUGGGGCCAUGCAAAAAGAUAAUAUAAGAGAAACAAGCCAAAAAAAGAAGGUAAAAUACGUAAUAGGAUCUAUCUCUAAUACGAUAACACAGAGGUGGGUGCAUUGUUCCACGUGGGACAAGACCAAGUGUGAGGGAAUGACGUACGGCGGCGUGUUUCCGACAAAAUACAUGAGGUCACCCAUUUGUUGACAUGGCAUAUAUUUGCCAUGUUGGCGUUUGUUUCUCGAGAUGUCGUUAGUACAGUUUUUUUAUUGGUAACAAUAUUUAUGGCUACAUCUUAAUUACUAUAUUUAGCAUAUAAUGGAAGAGAAUACGAGAUAAGAAAUUAAACGAAACAUCAAAAUGUGAUCCGAAUUUGAAAAAAUAAUAUAACGAUUCUUUAUAUUAUAUCGGUUUAUAUUCAUUUGAUAGUAACG
rnacentral:lncRNA from 1 species